AAAUUGAAGGGUUUGAUUCUGGCUCAGAAUGAACGUUGGCGGCGUGGAUUAGGCAUGCAAGUCGAGCGAGAACCGUAGCAAUACGGGGACAGCGGCGAAAGGGACAGUAAUGUGUAGGUACCUACCUCAGGGUCUGGGAUAGCUGCGGGAAACUGCAGGUAAUACCGGAUAAUGUCUUCGGACCAAAGGUGUGAUUCCACCCAGAGAGGGGCCUACAUCCUAUUAGCUAGUUGGUGAGGUAACGGCUCACCAAGGCAACGAUGGGUAGCGGGUGUGAGAGCACGACCCGCGUCAUUGGGACUGAGAUACUGCCCAGACACCUACGGGUGGCUGCAGUCGAGGAUCUUCGGCAAUGGGCGAAAGCCUGACCGAGCGACGCCGCGUGUGGGAUGAAGGCCUUCGGGUUGUAAACCACUGUCAACGGGGAGGAAAUGCAGGAGGGUACUCCCUCCUGUUUGACCUAUCUGUGGAGGAAGUACGGGCUAAGUUCGUGCCAGCAGCCGCGGUAAGACGAACCGUACAAACGUUAUUCGGAAUCACUGGGCUUAAAGGGUGCGUAGGCUGCGCGGUAAGUUGGGUGUGAAAGCCCUCGGCUCAACCGAGGAACUGCGCUCAAAACUACCGUGCUGGAGGGAGACAGAGGUGAGCGGAACUCAGGGUGGAGCGGUGAAAUGCGUUGAUAUCCUGAGGAACACCGGUGGCGAAGGCGGCUCACUGG
rnacentral:rRNA from 1 species